CCUCAUCUUUAUUAUUACAAGUUUGUAAGAGGGAUAGGAGUUAUAUUAUGUAAGGAGUCUUGUAUAUGAAUCUAUGCCUGCUUGUAUUUUUCUUAAGAUAACGUAUUUAUUUUCGGUUUU